CCUGUACAGGUCUGGGUGUAGGAAAGCUUUUGGUGCAAUGCCGUCCCUGAGAAAUGUUUGUCUGAAGUAGGUCCGGACAGGAACCGAGGGCACCUGAUCUUACCCAGUGGCUCUGUCACAGCUUUCUGACGUGGCUUUGGUAUCUUACAGAGCCUCUCAUCUCCAAGUGCACCACUGGAAUCCAGCUACCUGGAGGCUGAAGGAUAAAAGGCAGAACAGCAGGAGGCAUGCAAACCUGGAAGCAAGAGGACAUCCCAUCUGAAGGGCCUGUGUGAAAGAUCAUCCCCCACUCUUCCCCACACAAGUUGUUGGUUUGUGCCCGCAGCUACUCUGUGCUCCAAAGACAAGAAUCUCCCCUCCAGCACCUGCAUGAAAAGACCAAGCCCAACGAACCUCCCCACACCCAGGAAGUACCCACGCUCCCUUAUCACCUCCAGGGGAAAGUGGAUGAAGAGGUAGAAUGGGGGAAGGUAAGCUCUCAACCCCACACCGUGCUGACCAGGGAGGAUGAACAGACACGGUGCACCAACGGGUGCUGCAGCAUGAGACACGGGGAAUUACAUGCUCAAGGAGAGUCCAUGGGCUCUCUGUAGUGGGAUCUGGUUGUUCCCAUAAGAAUCUCGAAUCCUCCAUUGGUCCACUUCUGGAUGGGAUUACAGCACUGUUUCCUCCUGUGCUUUUUAUCUGUUAUCUGUCCCCCUCCACCACCCCUCAUCAGUAGGACAAGCCCUGUACGUAUCAUAGAAGUUAUGGACCAAUACAACAAAGACCUCUAAGUUUUUCUCUGAGGCUUUUGAACUGUACCCAGUAAUGCUUGCUGUGCAAGGAAUUACUGUGUAUAAGCCACAUAUUUUUGGUGCUUGUAGAUGUCUUCCAGAAGAAACUGUGACUCCUUUAUCUUGUGAAACACUCAGAAACAGCAGAAGUUGCCAAGAUUCAGGGUAACAACAUUGAGACUUUGUACAGAAGGCCAGAAAAGCCGUGGAAGAUUGUCAUAGACCAAACACGCAAAUCCUAAGAACAGCAUUUCCUUUAGCAUUUUAUUACUUUCUUUUCCAAAUGCAGAUGAAACCAAGAACUAGAGAGCAUGCAAUUGUGACAAGCUCCUUUUACCUUCAGGUAGAGUUUUGCUUUGACUUUCUGGGAGAGAGAAGCCCCAGAAGAGGCUUCAAUACGGAGAGUGAGUUGAGUCUUCUGCCCAUGCUGAGUCACUUUAUGCUUGAGGAAGCCUUCCCCGCAUCCAUACAUACAAAAAACUUGCUCCUGGGCCACCAAAGUUGUUGUGGAAGAGCAGAGACACAGACCUGGCUAUGGCACUGGAAGGUGAUCGUAUCUCCUGGAUAUUGGCAGAAGGAUUUUCCCCACAACUCUACUGAUCCAAGGGCCCCAACUCAGAUUCUGCAGUAGAUUUGAGCACCUUGUUCCACCCAUGGACACCUAUGGAUAUACCUGCAUUGCUCCUGCUGAAUUUCUAUACACUGCUUGGCAAUCACGGCUUUUUGUCACAUGUGUAGGUCACAGAAGCACAAUUAAAAUGACCUCACUGCUUAAGGAGGACAUUGAUGAAUACUCUGAGCACCGUGGCCAAAAGAUGUUGAUCAGAAACCAUGACGAUACAUAUUAUCUUCAGAAAGCAAAAACUGCCAUAGUGUCUUGAACCUUUUAAUAUAAGAACAUUGUUUCAGUUCAGUAAACUGCUUGAAGGUAUUAGAAGACUAGUAUAAUGUUUAAAUACACUCUUCCAUUGUAUUCUUUUUUUUUUUAAACAAGUGUUGGUUUGCAAGUCCACCAAUUUAACUGUAUUGUAGGCCCAGAUUGCUAAUAUUGUAGUGGAUUAAAAUAAGCAUAUUUUUUUUAACUUUAUAAAUUCUUAUCUACUGCUGUUAACAGCAACUAGCCAAAUUUUGUGGGUUUGGCUGGAUUGCUUCCAAGGUAAAUUCACCAGAUCCUUCUGUUGAAUAUGGCUGUGUAAAUCAGGAAUAGCUCCAGUGAAGUCCAUUAAAAACACAUCAAUGAAAUUUUGGUUUGAAAAGAUAUUGAAGCACAUUGAUUUAAAGAAAGAAUAAAGAAAUUAACCACUUUUUUGCCUUGGAUUUUCUGUCAGAAAACUUAAUUCCAAAGAAACGUGGCUGAAGUAAUUUCCAAUGAAUAA